UACGGAAGGUUCGGGCGUUAUCCGGAUUUAUUGGGUUUAAAGGGAGCGUAGGCCGGAGAUUAAGCGUGUUGUGAAAUGUAGACGCUCAACGUCUGCACUGCAGCGCGAACUGGUUUCCUUGAGUACGCACAAAGUGGGCGGAAUUCGUGGUGUAGCGGUGAAAUGCUUAGAUAUCACGAAGAACUCCGAUUGCGAAGGCAGCUCACUGGAGCGCAACUGACGCUGAAGCUCGAAAGUGCGGGUAUCGAACAGG
rnacentral:rRNA from 1 species